rnacentral:misc_RNA from 1 species
AAGUCGUAACAAGGUUUCCGUAGGUGAACCUGCGGAAGGAUCAUUAUUGAAUACGAUUGGUACUGAUGCUGGCUCUUCACUGAGCAUGUGCUCGUCCAUCUAUUUAUCUUCUCUUGUGCACAUCUUGUGGUCUUGAAUUGAAACCUUUUUCGCAUUCAUUUGCGGUUUGGGAGAAUGUUAACCCUUCUUCUGCUUCUUCAAGGCCAUGUUUUCAUAUACACUAUACAAAAGUUACAGAAUGUCAUUUAACGAUUGUGCUUGGUCGCAGUCAUUAAACCUAUACAACUUUCAGCAACGGAUCUCUUGGCUCUC